rnacentral:lncRNA from 1 species
CUGGAAAUAGGUAGCCUGUCUGCUUUUGGAAAAGGAAGUCUGCUGUUUCCUCACCCUGAAGGAAAAGGAAAGGGGAGAAUUUCAUAAGGAAAAGGGAAAAGUGAGCAAGUACACAUAGGUUUGAAAUGAAUGUUUGUUCAUGAGGGUACCACUAAGUCCUCUGAAAAAUAUUCCAAGGCUCCUGGUGAUCUUUACUAGGUAAAGUCUAAUAGAGAAACUUAACAAGGAAUGUACCUCCUGAAGAGGAAUCUAGAAGACACACCAUGGGUGAGAAACGAAUCCAGAUUGCAGGACAUUAAGGGAACUGGGUGAACCAUCCAAACUCAUAAAUGGUUAAAGGAUAUGAAUAAAUGAUUUUCCAAAGGCAAAAUCAAAGAAUUAGGUUAUUAAAUAAAGGAGGCAAGCGUCCUUUUCCUGUGGAUAUGCCUGUCCAACCAUAGGCAUGGGAAGGGAUGUAUAAGUUGAUGGACCAACUAUUAAUUAGCUAUCAACAACUAAAGAUGUCUUGGGAUGGUCAAGGAUGGUGCUGAAAAAUGAGUUCUUAAAAAUCUAUUUAUUUGGCUGCCUGACCCUGUGGAGGCCCUCCAUCAUAUGAGAGAACCAUGGAGACCUAAAUUGCUUUAUUGGUUAUGA